GGGGUCGCUGCAGGGAGCAGCACUGGUCCGGCGUUCCGAAAUUUGGUCCAGUCAGCCUUUCCACGAAUACCAUUUGUUUGUGACCGGCCAAAUGCACUGAUCUUCCAGGCAGCAUGUGAUUGGUAUCCCCAACCCGGUCGGGAGGUAGUGUCCGUGCAGCUGGGUGAUCAGGGACGACGUAUUGUACACGGAGAUCGCAUUGUAAACCUCAAACUCAAAUCGUCCAAUAGGAAUAGAGGCAGGAUCUUCACAGGAAUAUAUAUGUGUGAGACAUGGGAAGCACCAUCUUGAAAAAGAUGUACAAGUUGCAACAUGUUGGUAUCGUGCUGCUAGCUACGCCAUAUUGAAGUUGUAAACCACCAUUUGGACCACUCGUCCACAGGAGAUCUCCCCCCUAGAAGCAGGAAAUGAAGUCAGCUAGGAAGCUGAAGGGCAGUGACACAGCACAAAUGACAAGCCAGCAGCAACAAAGUCCCUUUUUCUCACAUUACCGCAGAUCGCUUAUGAUAUGAUGCAUCUUUAUAAAACUACUAUGACUUACCUACCUGCUGCAGAGGUUUGUUCCAUUGAUAUAGCCUGGGAGAACAGUACCUGAUACAACAUCACACCUUCCUGCUGCAGAGCUUGCAUCUCAGCUCCCUGUCAGAUCAUUGGGAAGGACCUUAUCAGGUGUUGCUGAUGACUCCAACAGCUGUUAAAGUCAGAGAGAAGUUUACCUGGAUAGACAUAUUGCAUUGUAAAAAGGUUCACUACAACCCACCCAAAGACCAACCUGAGGACAGUCAGCUGACAACUUCACUGGUUCUGUUUCCAAAGAUGUAAUUCCCUGGCCAGGAAGAAGAUUCUGCAAUCAGAUUAUGUUCCAAUGUACAGAGAGACGAUGCCCCACAAUCAAUGUUUUCUACCUGAGAAACCACCUCCAAACUAUGUAUAUUAUGUGGUGAACUUUCUUCCUAGUCCAGAAGGAGGUCAAGCAAACGUAUAUGAGAGAGUGGGCAAUAAUGUGUGACAAAGGAAUUUGUCAAAAGGAGGAAUUGUCAAGGAAAUGAGAAUCCAUAAAACCAGAAG